GGUGUGUUAGCUUAAUUGGUAAAGCGUGAUUUUACGACAAUCAUAACAUAAGUUCGAGUCUUAUACACAUUU
rnacentral:tRNA from 1 species